GUCUCUCUAUCUCUCCUUCUGUCUCCCACACACACACACGUACAUACAUGUAAUUCUUUUGAUCUUAUACUCUCUAAGUUCUGAGAGGUACACAUACUCCUGUAUAUGCUUCUCAAAGUGGAGAAAGGGUCUUUAUCAGUUGUUUUCUCCCAUGUUUUACUGAAGUAUCAAAAUAAAUCAUUGUUAAUCAUAUGUAGAUGUCUGGCCAUAGUUCUGCCUGAAAGCUAAAGGCAAACUUUAAAAAUUAGUGAUAAUUAUAUAAAGGAGCCUCCCCUUUUUGUCCUAAUUGAUCAAGGUUAGAGAGAAGAGGCCUGUGUAAAGAGGCUCUGGAACGAUACACUGAAACCACAGCCUUGGAUAUGAGACUCUCCUCUCACUCUGCAUUUACUGUGUUACAUUCUCCUCUUAGCAGGGAUCACUGUCAUCGAGCUAAAAUAAAUCAUGAUGCAUCGCCUAGGAAAGAAUGAAAAAUAGAGGCCAUUGGAAACGCUUUCCUUCGAACCCUCAUCUUCACGGAUACUAGUCUGGACCUCAGAACUUCUGCUUCCUUGAGGCUUCUGCUCUUGCCUCCUUUCUUGUGUCUUUUGGCAUCUGUCCAGUACCAUCCACUGAAGGAGGAGGAGCUGAUUGGCCCAAUCAGCCUGGGGACAGACCUUCUCAUCUGCCCAUUCAGGUGCUGCUGGCUCAUGGAAUGAGUUAGCGGCGGUCAGAUAACUGAAUCUACAAAACCCCAUCCCACUGUACACUUGAAAAUGGUGAAUUUUCUAUUAUGUGAAUGAUAUCUAAAUUUUUAAUAAAUCUAGGAACUAACCCA